CUGCCAGGCAGGAAACGGGCGGCUUCGGGGCGGGGCGGGGCGGCCCCGGCACGUCCCGGCGUCUGGGCCGGCGGUGCCCGGAGACCAGCCCCUUAAAGGGACAGGAGUCGCCGCCCCGACCCCCGCGCGCUCUGCUGUGAGCUUGGAGCAUCCCCGAAGUACAAAUGAAAACUGUACAGUAUGUGGUAGCCUGAGAUGUUGAGAAUUCUGCCUGUCUUCAGCCACUAUGUUCUCCAGAGACGCAUUCUGUCUUAUUUUAACUCCAGAAAUGCCGCCCUCUUUUUUGUUUCUUAGUAGGGUUACUCAGCACCUCAGUGGUUCCAAUGCCCUCAAAGCAAUCUACCCCUAAACCAUGAGCUGUUUCCUGAGCCUGUGCCACAGGAUCCACCUUCGGUGAAGAGCGAAGCCAUUGGUCUCUUAAUACAAAGAGGAAAAUAUACCAUUUCUAUAAAGGAGUUCAAGGACUCUUGAUUAGCCUACAAACGACCAUCUAAUUUCCUCUGGGAUGGCAGAGAUGAAGGUAUAAUGGAAGCAUUAACGGAACUAAAAGUAAAGGGAAAAUUCCAGGUUCACCUUCUCCACCGAAGUAAUAGAGUGAGGAAGUUCACAGAAACAUCUGCAGCUGCAGAUCUAGAAGUAAUCAGUUAUUCUAACAAAGUAUCUGGCACAUAACUGUGCUUAUCAAAGGUCUGCAUUGUUCCCGUUGACAUGUAAUCUCUUCAGGCAUAUGGCAUUAAAUGCCUUCAUAACAGACUAAAGGUGCCAUAAAUUAUUUGCCUACUCUUUUGCAUGGAGAGGUGAGAUCUGUGCCCUUCCUUUGAAUCUGGGAGGGCUUUGUGACUAAUGUGACCAAUAGGAUGUGACAGAAAUAACAAUGUGCCAAGUUGUAUGGGCCCAGACUGUAAGAGAAAGGCAAUUGAAAGUUCAUUUCCUGUCUCUUGGAACUAUUGAUCUUAGAGCCCUGAACUGCCAUAAAAGAAGUCCAUGGACCCACAUGUUCAUUGCAGCACUAUUCACAAUAGCCAACACAUGGAAA